CCGGAUGUAGCUCAGCAGAAGAGCUCGCGGUUUGGGACCGUGAGGCCGCUGGUGCAACUCCAGCCAUCCGGACCA
rnacentral:tRNA from 1 species